UAUAUAUGAUAAGCACUGCUAUUUAUUGUUGUGCAAUUUAUGUAAUUGGAUUACAUGUUAAUAUGUCAAGUUUUUGUCUAUAACAAGGCAUACGCUUCAGAAAUUUGCCGUAAAGAAUAUCAAGCUUUGGGAAUGUCAAUUAUUAGCACAUCAUGGGGCAUUGGAUUAGUCCUCGGUCCAGCCGUUGGAGGUUUUCUUGCUCAGGUAAUAAAAUAUAACCAAUAGUAUUUUCUAAUCAUUUGAUGCCACGUCAAGGAACGAUAAUAGGGUGAUUACUAAAAGGAUGUUCAAUUGCAUUUCUCA